rnacentral:rRNA from 1 species
GAUGAACGCUGGCGGCGUGCCUAAUACAUGCAAGUCGAGCGAACGGACGAGAAGCUUGCUUCUCUGAUGUUAGCGGCGGACGGGUGAGUAACACGUGGAUAACCUACCUAUAAGACUGGGAUAACUUCGGGAAACCGGAGCUAAUACCGGAUGAUAUUUUGAACCGCAUGGUUCAAAAGUGAAAGACGGUCUUGCUGUCACUUAUAGAUGGAUCCGCGCUGCAUUAGCUAGUUGGUAAGGUGGCGGCUUACCAAGGCAACGAUGCAUAGCCGACCUGAGAGGGUGAUCGGCCACACUGGAACUGAGACACGGUCCAGACUCCUACGGGAGGCAGCAGUAGGGAAUCUUCCGCAAUGGGCGAAAGCCUGACGGAGCAACGCCGCGUGAGUGAUGAAGGUCUUCGGAUCGUAAAACUCUGUUAUUAGGGAAGAACAUAUGUGUAAGUAACUGUGCACAUCUUGACGGUACCUAAUCAGAAAGCCACGGCUAACUACGUG